rnacentral:rRNA from 1 species
UAGCAUAUCAAUAAGCGGAGGAAAAGAAACCAACCGGGAUUGCCUCAGUAACGGCGAGUGAAGCGGCAAGAGCUCAAAUUUGAAAGCUGGCUCCUUCUGAGUCCGCAUUGUAAUUUGCAGAGGAUGCUUUGGGUGCGGCCCCCGUCUAAGUGCCCUGGAACGGGCCGUCAGAGAGGGUGAGAAUCCCGUCUUGGGCGGGGUGUCCGUGCCCGUGUAAAGCUCCUUCGACGAGUCGAGUUGUUUGGGAAUGCAGCUCUAAAUGGGUGGUAAAUUUCAUCUAAAGCUAAAUACUGGCCGGAGACCGAUAGCGCACAAGUAGAGUGAUCGAAAGAUGAAAAGCACUUUGAAAAGAGAGUUAAACAGCACGUGAAAUUGUUGAAAGGGAAGCGCUUGCAACCAGACUCGCCCGCGGGGUUCAGCCGGCAUUCGUGCCGGUGUACUUCCCCGUGGGCGGGCCAGCGUCGGUUUGGGCGGCCGGUCAAAGGCCCCUGGAAUGUAGUGCCCUCCGGGGCACCUUAUAGCCAGGGGUGCAAUGCGGCCAGCCUAGACCGAGGAACGCGCUUCGGCUCGGACGCUGGCAUAAUGGUUGUAAACGACCCGUCUUGAAACACGGACCAAGGAGUCUAACAUCUACGCGAGUGUUCGGGUGUCAAACCCGUGCGCGCAGUGAAAGCGAACGGAGGUGGGAGCCCCCUCGUGGGGCGCACCAUCGACCGAUCCUGAUGUCUUCGGAUGGAUUUGAGUAAGAGCGUAAAUGUGGGGACCCGAAAGAUGGUGAACUAUGCCUGAAUAGGGCGAAGCCAGAGGAAACUCUGGUGGAGGCUCGCAGCGGUUCUGACGUGCAAAUCGAUCGUCAAAUUUGGGUAUAGGGGGCGAAAGACUAAUCGAACCAUCUAGUAGCUGGUUCCUGCCG